UUGGAGUUCAAAAAUUUCGUCUAAAAAAUGAUUCAACAUCUCCAAAAUAUAGGCCUAAUAGUUUUCGUUCAGUCAAUAAUUAAUAAACGAGAAAACUUUGAGAGUGUGAGAAGAUAUAUGCUUUCAAUAGAUCCAGAUUGCUGAUGAAGGGUUAAUCUUGGCUGUUCGACAAUGCAACACGAUCCGUCGAAAAAUUCCUGUAGGGUCUGACGAAUUCUCCCCGUUGUUUUCGAUCCGAUCUAAUCAGAUGGUAAUAGCACCUGCGAAGCAAAGAGUCCAACCACCUGGACUCGAUCUACCGCGUGCGAUGAUUAAUAAUUGCUGUCUGGCGAAGAUAUGGAAUCGCGUGCGCCUAAUUCGUAGGCGGGAGUUUUUGAGUUAUUGGCCUUUGUGCUCUUUGUCCAUCGGAAUGGGGACACUCGAUCAAACGUGGUAAUACAAACGGAGAUCGUUCCGUUCGCCGUGCUUGAAAACGCGGGUACGGCGUGAAGUGGAAAAAUGAGGCAGUUUCUCUUUACUGAUGUCAAGAAAGGGGAACGCGAGGAGGACGAAAGAAAAAUCGGGGACACGAGAGCAAGAAGUUGGACAUUGCCGACAGGAAAAUCCACUAGGCAUAGGUUGGCGAAUUGGGAAAACAUGUCACCCCAUAAGCCCAAUCUUAUUUCACUCGUACGUUCUGUCUCGGUCGGGAGCAGCCGCGCCUGUAAACAUCCGACAGAGACAAAGGAGGAACUAAAACGUGCCGGAACGAUUCCGUUUUAACGGUGAAUUUAUAGCGGCGCGUGAUUUUCGCCCCGAGAAGAUUUCCACGGCCCAUCUUUCCUUUUUCUUCCCUCGAAUCCGCUGUUCCGCAACCGUGAAAAUACUUCUUCCCUUCGAUAACGCGGAAACGAGAAUCGAAACGAGAUAGGCGAGAUCGCGAUGGGAUU